GGAUUUUCAUAUUGAACUAAAAUGGUGUAAAACAGUUAAAAAUCUAAUCUUGCAACAGUUCUUCACAUGAACAACAUAAUUUGCUUGACUUGGAACCAAUAUAUCAUCACAUAAUUGCAAUGUCACAUAACAGCAACAUAAUCUCUCACAUCAGCAUGACUUGGAACCAAAAAUAUCUCAUACGUUUUCGGCAUUCACAAGUCCAAGGAAAGACAAGCGUACAUUUAAGCAUGCUGAGAAUACAUAAGACAUGCGUACAUUUAAGCGUGCUGACAACAAUAGCGUCGACACAAAAGCAACUGACGAGACUCUUAAACAGACGAUUUCGAGGGCCCUGCAAACGUCCCAUUCUUCCUCUGCUUUGUUCGACUUCUCAACCUGGUUUAAUGACACCAGAAAAAACUGAUGAUAUUGAAGAAAACAAGGUAAUGUUGCUACUGUUGACAAAAUUACAUCUCAUUUCAAUUCAAUGCAGAUAUUUCUCAUUCAAUUUCAAUUCCAAGACCCACAAAUAGAGGAUCCAGUUGACAGAGGGAGUACUUAUGUACAAGUAAAUGAUCAGGUAUGUCUCAAGUAAAUGAUAUUAAGAGCACAACAACAAUCAGGUAUAUUUCAAGGAAUUAUAUCAUGGCCUUGUUAGAGCUACAUCAAGACCAACAGAGGCUGUAUACAGGCAACAUCAAGGCAACAGAGGCUACACCAAGCAACUUUCUCAACCUUGUUAAUCCUACAUAGGUAUGCUUCCCACAUUUGCAUUGCUAUUUCAUCCCUUAGAGUGUUCCCUAAGUCGUUGUUCCCAUAGUUAUUCUCGUCGCCAUUCGGGAGAUCAACAAAAACAUUUGGCGCUAUGUUAUCGGGCUGGUUGUCAAGCCAAGUCUCGUCACCAUUCUCCAUUUUGAUGAUAUUGUGACGAACUGCGGCAGCUGCGGGAAGUUUCACUUGGUUCUCGAUUGAAUGCAGUGUGCCAACAUGAAGAAUUGGGAAGCGCUUCUUAAGAAUUCCUAGAGACCUUUCCACAUGGUUCCGUAGAACAGCAUGUCGAUGAUUGAACUAUUCCCUGUGGUUUUGUGGUUGAGGAUGUCCAUGACCAAAUUCCUUCAAAUGAUACCGGACACCCCGAUAAGGUGCGAGAAAUGACUGAGUGUUUGCAUAACCCCCAUCAACUAGGUAAAACUUUCCCUCGGGUACUCUAAAUCCUUUGCUAAUUGCAGAAUGAAGAACCCUCGCAUCCGUAGUUGAACCCUCCCAACCACAUGAUAUGAAAGUGAAUCUUAGAUCGAAGUCACAGGCAACCAUAAUAUUAUGACUCAAGGUACCCUUCCUAUUCCGAAAUGGAGCAGCAAUUCUAGGUGUUGCCGUUAUAGGAACAUGUGACCCAUCAAUGGCUCCUAAACAGUUCUGGAAGAAAAGAUUGCAGGUCAAUAAAGAACUAUAAGUUAGAUAAGAAAAGGAAUUAUGGAAGCAUUAAAAAUGGAAACCUGGAAGUAAGGAUAAAAUCUUGUGUCGGUGGAGAUUACUGGAUGUGGCUCAUCAAUGUUCGGGGGCUUCAAAAAUCGACUAGCUAAAAUGGGGACGAUGUUGAAGAACUCAUUGAUGUACUCAUGAAAUGUUUGUCCACUAUGCUGAAAUUCUAGCUGAAGAUCUUCAUAAGAUGCGUUGUGAGACACCAUGUACAAGAAAAAGGCUAACUUCUCCUCCACCUUAAUUCUUUUAUUCAAUAUCAGAUUUUCUCUUCUAAGGUAAGAUGCCAAAGCCCGGAAGAUACGUGGCUCCAUCCUAUAAGCUACUAGGUAAUUCUUAACAUGCCCUGUAAGGAUAUCAUCAACCCGCUUCUUGCCAUAUAAGAUGGAGCUAUGUCGCUGAGUUCUCUCGAUUGGCCCUCUACUACGCGUUCGAUGCAAUACGGGCAGAAUAAAGGACAUCAUAUCUUCAUCAUCCUUGCUUCUCCUCUUCCUAAUUCGAUCGAUAAUCUUGGAGUUCAUCUCGGCACUAAAACUAGAAUCAGGAAGCAACAAAUAAGAACUACAUUUCAUGGUUUACUUGACUCGAAGCAAAUUAUUAAUAAGACAUACCACAUAGUAAGACUACAAGAGCCAUCAAGUAGGAUAUAGUACUUCGGUUAAGACAUGAUAGAAAUGAGGUCAAGAGGCCAAAAAGUUGGUCUAUAUUACCGAAUUUAGGCGUGACAACUGGAUCCCAAGAUGGAGGCAACUCGUCCACCCCAACAAGAAUCCAAGCAGCAGGCCUCUGUCAAAAUAAGAACAUACCAGCAACAUGUAAGAUGACACACAAUCAUUCAUAUAUACUAUAGAAACAAACAUCCCUACUGCAUUGUUCCACCAACACUCACGGAGAAUUAACUAAAAGUUACAUCUUACUGGGGAAAAGGCCAGCUCUUCGGUCGGGGUUAAGGAGGCUGAUGGUGGUGGAGCAUGGAAGAGGCUGCAAGGUCCAUGGAGGGAGAACAAGUUAGCAAGGUCCAUUACAUAGAUUCAGUUCAAUGGAAAUGCUAGCUAGCUAGAUAAUAAAUGAAUGACAGAAAUAAGAACCAAUCUGCGUGAUACCAUUAAUACAAGACCAAGUUAGCUAGCUAGCUAGAGGACUAUUUGCUUCACUAAAAGUGCACAGAAAUUAGACUUGUAACUUGUGUUGUCCAUGGUCACAGGCUCACCGCACAUACGAAUAACAGUUACAACAUCAGACCAUCACCAUCACCAUCACUAAUACAAUUUGCACCACACUGCCAUCACAAAGAGAACACAGAAACACUCUUUGGUAGCCAUGGUAACAUUAUUACAGAGAUUUAGUUUUAUACAAUAAUACAAGUAGUUCUUCUACCUGCCUAAUGCUUCUACAAGGCUCCUAUAAGGAUUUCAUUGCCGAGUCACGCAUACCAAUUCUAUUUACGCAAUAUCCAUUGUGGAGAAGCUCAGGAAAAUGCCAAAACUAUCUGAAUCAAAAAAUCAUCUAAGAUUACGUAAACACAGUCAAUUAUACAUGUGCAACCAACAUAUCGAUCAUCGCCCAUAAACCAUUGACUAGUCGCUCUCUCGAAACACACGACAACAGCAGUAAAGACCUCCACUACAUCCACAACACACCAAUAAUGGAGGGAGGAGGUCACAGCGGGGCAGCGGUUUCGAGAGAGCAGAUAAACUAGACUGUGUGGCUCGCUUUCCAGUUAUCCCAGUUAAGCAAAGGGAAGAAGCAGAGCACUAGGAGUCUGGAGCUGGUGAACAGGACACGUAUGCAUGCAAUCGGCUGGCCACUAAACCAAUUAAUUAACAAGGUCCGGAAAUCUCACAGGCUCAACUUGAGCUUGACACAAGGUCCAGCAAAGGGAAGGAAAGCUAAAUCACAUGCAAAUAAAUCUUCUACUAAGCUUGAAAGUCAGUAUGUGCCAUGCUUAUAAUCUCAACCAAGGGGGAAGUUAAAUCAGAACUUAAAAUUAUUGCAUGUUAAUCAAAUUCUAAAAACAGAACUAGAAUCUUAAUUCACUGACAAGAUGGAAACUACAAGAGUGAAAAUAAAUUGUAAACAACAUAUGCAUAGAGCUCUGAUUAGACCAACCCCACGCCUUUGAAUACUUGCUCAAAACUGAAACUAUUUGGUUAAUACCAAACUACGUAAAAUAGCAACUAUGAAAAGACAAAGGGCUAAAUGAUGGCAUCUGAAAGGAUCGAUAUAGUUGACUAGAGGGGGGGGGGGGUGAAUAAGCAACUAACAAUUUUUAGCUUUUCUUUACCAAAUUAAACUGUGCAUCAAAGUAGGUUGUCUAGAUAUGCAACUAGGUGAGCAACCUAUAUGAUGCAACAACAACAAAUACACAAGCAAGCAAGGGAUACAACACAAAUAAGCUUGCACAAGUAAACGCACGAGAUAACCAAGAGUGGAGCUGGUGAAGACGAGGAUGUGUUACCAAUUUCCUUCCUUUUGAGGGGAAGUACGUCUCCGUUAGAGCGGUGUGGAGGCACAAUGCUCCCCAAGAGGCCACUAGGGCCACCGUAUUCUCCUCACGCCCUCACACAAUACGAGAUACCGUGAUUCCACUAUUGGUGCCCUUGAAGGCGGCGACCGAACCUUUACAAAUAAGGUUGGGGCAAUCUCCACAACUUAAUUGGAGGCUCCCAACGACACCACGAAGCUUCACUACAAUGGACUAUGGCUCCGCGGUGACCUCAACCAUCUAGGGUGCUCAAACACCCAAGAGUAACAAGAUCUGCAAGGGAUUAGUGGGGGAAUCGAAUUUCUCUUGGUGGAAGUGUAGAUCGGGGCCUUCUCAACCAAUCCCGAGCAAAUCAACGAGUUUGAUUGGCUAGGGAGAGAGAUCGGGCGAAAAUGGAGCUUGGAGCAACAAUGGAGCUUAGGGAUGGAAGAGGUGGUCAACUAGAGGAAGAAGACACCCCUUAUAUAGUGUAGAGACAAAUCCAACCAUUAUCCACUUACUCAGCCCGCGACCUGCGGUACUACCGCUCCAGACAAGCGGUACUACCGCAGGGGCUGACGGUACUACCGCGGCGGACCGCGGUACUACCGCUGCAAAGGCAGGAGCUAGUCUAGGCCAGAGCCGCCAAGGCUGAGGGCGGUACUACCACUCCCCCUUGCGGUACUACCGCAAGGCCAGAUUGGACUAGCCUGGGAAGGGCGCGGAUGAAUAAAAAUACAUCCGUGCCUACUUCUGCUGAAAAUCAAAGAGUGCAAAAAUCCGACACGGUACUAUCGCGCCUGGCAUGCGGUACUACCGCGCAGGGAGCGGACGUAAAAAAUUACAUCCGCCCCUACUUUCGCUCAUGUUGUUGUGCCAGACCAGGACUCACGGUACUACCACGCGCAUGGGGCGGUACUACCACGUAGGACGCGGAUGUAAAAAUUUACAUCCGCCCCUACAGCCGCACGAGAGGUUGAGUCUGAUCUGAGGCCACGGUACUACAGCUCCUUAGGAGCGAUACUACCGUGUGCGCCUACGGUACUACCACAAGGGCUUGCGGUACUACCGUAGGGUCCUGCGGUACUACCGCUCCUAGGAGCAGUACUACCGCAUGCCUUAGAAAAGCAACACUAGGAAUCCUUCUUUUUGCAUAAAAAGGAAGACAAAGGAGGAUGCUCCAAAGCGCAAAGGGAAAGGCGGUGCAAAGGGAGUAAAUGUGUACGUGAUGAUUCCACCCGAACCUUUCCAACGCGGACGCCCCUCUUAAUAGUACGACUUUCCUACAACUCAAUUCCACCAAAAAGAAACGUAGAAAAAUGCAAUCUUCAAUAGUCUUCGAGGGGCACCAAACCGUCUUGUGCUUAGUGAUGAAACGUCUGAAAAACUCAAGGCACACGAUUAGUCCGCAAAAGCAUUGUCAUCAAUCACCAAAACACCUUAGGGAUAAAUAUGUCCUUACAGCAUCCAUAUAUCAUUCAACAAUUACAUCGGUUACAGUACGCGACAUCACAACAGAUGCAUAAUUGACAAUUGUGUACAACAUAAAUUGCAUUAGAACAUACUAAUCAUAAAAACAUGGCUACAGAUUACAAUAAGACCUAGACUAUGCGACAACACCGAUGUGCCGUGUUGUAUAAGUACACAGAGCAACUAUAAGAACUAAUGAACAAGCUUUGCCUGUUUCAUCACAGAUUAUUUGAAACAUUAUCCGGUCAUGAAGAACAACACAUGGAUCAAACUCCAACCAAGUAUGCAAAAGUCUAGCAAGUAUAUGACAUAUUUGAUACAUAGCAUAUUGGACGCAUAUUGUGAGGACACGUAUGCAUGCAAUCGGCUGGCCACUAAUACCAAUUAAUUAACAAGGUCCAGAAAUCUCAUAGGCUCAACUUGAGCUUGACACAACUCCUUUCUUUCCUUUCCAAUGUUUCUUCAUCUAGUUAACUGGCCACAAAAGCACCUUGCCAAGAAGAUACAUAUGUCAGGCUCAAGAAUAUACUAGUGUUGCGGGAUCAACAGCAGUCACCAAGAGGGGGCAAAUUUGGUUUAGAAUCUGCCAAUUUAUCCUCCUAGAUGCAUCAGACGAGCUAGGGUUAGGGUAUAAGAGGGGCUAGAAGAGGACGCCGUCCUUGGCGAGCUAUCCAGGUAGGGUUAGGGUAGGAUACACCGUUCUUGGCAUGCUCGCCGGUGAGGACGAGGCGGACGGAAGGCGUGCGGGAGGUGGCGGCCAUGGCAUAGACUUCUCCCNNNNNNNNNNNNNNNNNNNNNNNNNNNNNNNNNNNNNNNNNNNNNNNNNNNNNNNNNNNNNNNNNNNNNNNNNNNNNNNNNNNNNNNNNNNNNNNNNNNNNNNNNNNNNNNNNNNNNNNNNNNNNNNNNNNNNNNNNNNNNNNNNNNNNNNNNNNNNNNNNNNNNNNNNNNNNNNNNNNNNNNNNNNNNNNNNNNNNNNNNNNNNNNNNNNNNNNNNNNNNNNNNNNNNNNNNNNNNNGGGGGAGAGGCGACGAUGACUUACCACCGGGGAGAAGUCCAGUACGCCGGCGUCGAGGCGUCGGGUGGCGGGGAGGAGUCGGCGACGGCGGCGUCUUGCGAGGAGUGUCGGGCGACCAAAUCCUUGCCCCCCCUCGAGUCUUCUGAAGCGCGUGGGUAGAAGGGGAUCGAAGGGGAACCGAGUGGUUUGGCCCAUCUAACCCUCGCGUACCAAACGGGUUGCCUGGGCCUCGCGGGGAUAAUCCCCUCAAAACCCAUCCGACCCCCUUGUGCCAAACGAGGCCUAAAGGGAUCUCAUGGGAAGAGUUUGCAUCUGUGUAUAGUUUUUUGCUUUUUGUUGGGGGUUGGGGGGAGGGAGACGUGAGGGAGUUUGGUCAUGUUACAGAAAGAUUGUACCAUUUUUUCUUUUUUUGGUUGGCCUGCUUGCUCGUGGCCUUGUGGGAUUGUCCAGCCUUCGGACUCGUUGUGAUCUCGCAUAUGGGGUCCAUCUGGUUUAUGUAGAUCUAAUGGUUGUACUCUGUUAAACGGAAAUAGGCACACCGAAUUAAAGGUCAUUUGUUUCUAAUUAUUAUGGAAUUUUUAAGCUAAUUAUCUUUAUUUUCGUAAGUACGUAAAAUAUUUUUUAAAUAUAAUAGAUGAUGUAACUCUUUUGAUAUGAGCAAUAAACUUUGAGGGUUUCAAAUAAAAAAUGUGUACAAUUCAGUGUCCCAAGGACCAGGCCGUUGGAGGAAAAUGCCGGGCCAAAACACAGGAGAUCAAAAAACGCCGUCUGUGGGAAUCGAACCCACGACCACGUGGUUAAAAGCCACGCGCUCUACCAGCUGAGCUAAGACGGCUCUUGUAAGAAUGUUUCAACCUGGCUUUAUAGUCGAAUUCAAGUUCGCUAGCUUGAUCUCAGACGCGCGAGGUUUCAAACUUUGGAAGUCACUGCAAGCUCCGUGGGUGGGUCCGCUUCUUCAAUUUCGACACUAGAAAGUUCAUCCGUGUCCGGCUCGAUCUGUUCAAAGACUACUGCAUUCUUGCACUUCAUCGUUGCAUUAAAUGUGUAGCCUUUGCUACCCCAGGGCCAGGGACCAGUAAUGGACUCUUUCAAGUUGGAAGAUCCUGGACUGUUCUAGAAUAUUGUUGUUCAAAGGAAAGUUAUACGUGGUGUCUAAGAGCAACUCCGACGUAAGGGGACGAGACUUGACUGCUCCCCGCGCGUGUGCUCAUCCAUGCUCCCGCGUAUGUGGCUAGAUUUGAUUGGAACAAAAUAAGGCCCGACCCCACCUCCUUAAAAUCAGGGGGGGGGGGAGAUGAUUAGAUUAGAAAGAAAAAAGGAAAAAAAAACAGCCGUAGGAUGAAGUGGGAGUACGGAUGGGAGCAUAGGGAGGGAGCAGGCAAGCCGGAUCCAACUUAAGGACCCAAACGGACACGGAUUUUGUCCAUUUCGUGUCCGUUUGGGUCACCUGUCCGCCUAGCGGAUAUGGGGCGGACAAGUGUUGUAUCCAACGUGCGGCACAAAAGCAGACCCAAACUCCUCGCGCCGCNNNNNNNNNNNNNNNNNNNNNNNNNNNNNNNNNNNNNNNNNNNNNNNNNNNNNNNNNNNNNNNNNNNNNNNNNNNNNNNNNNNNNNNNNNNNNNNNNNNNNNNNNNNNNNNNNNNNNNNNNNNNNNNNNNNNNNNNNNNNNNNNNNNNNNNNNNNNNNNNNNNNNNNNNNNNNNNNNNNNNNNNNNNNNNNNNNNNNNNNNNNNNNNNNNNNNNNNNNNNNNNNNNNNNNNNNNNNNNNNNNNNNNNNNNNNNNNNNNNNNNNNNNNNNNNNNNNNNNNNNNNNNNNNNNNNNNNNNNNNNNNNNNNNNNNNNNNNNNNNNNNNNNNNNNNNNNNNNNNNNNNNNNNNNNNNNNNNNNNNNNNNNNNNNNNNNNNNNNNNNNNNNNNNNNNNNNNNNNNNNNNNNNNNNNNNNNNNNNNNNNNNNNNNNNNNNNNNNNNNNNNNNNNNNNNNNNNNNNNNNNNNNNNNNNNNNNNNNNNNNNNNNNNNNNNNNNNNNNNNNNNNNNNNNNNNNNNNNNNNNNNNNNNNNNNNNNNNNNNNNNNNNNGCGACCUGCGCCGGUGGCCUCGCUGCGGCGCGGAGGAGCGGCCGAGCGCGCGUCGGCGACCUGCGUCGGUGGCCUUGCUGCGGGCGUUGUGGAGGCAGAAAUCGCAAUGGUGUUGUGGAGGUAAAAGUUGUAGUCGCUGACAUAUGGGACAAGGGGCCGACACGAGCGGGCGACAGCGGUGGACGAGAGCGUCCGCUUCCGUCCACUUCGUACCCAUUUGUUCCCAGAUUUGGGCCAGGUUUGGGUCGGGGACGAACAGCAGGCGGACACAGGCGUCUGUUUGGGUCGCCCCGUUGGGCCAAGUUUUCUGUUCGGAUGACCCAAGUUAGUGCUAGAUAUAUCCAUUUGAAAGACAAGCUUGGGACAAGUUUUUUCGGACGAAGGAAGUAUAAGUCUUUGUAGAGAUCUCACUAUGGACUGCAUACGGAGCAAAAUGAGUGAGUAUACACUCUAAAAUGCAUCUACAUACAUCCGUAUGUGAUUCAUAGUGAAAUCUCUAUAAAGACUUAUAUUUAGGAACGGAUGGAGUAAAUGGCUUUGCCCCAAGCCCAUAUAGUCUCAUUCAUGUUAUCUUCACAUGUUGCUCUAAAAUGCAGUGGUAUGUACUGUAUUUAAUUUUUCCAAUGAUCACCUUGAUAAGAAUUGCUCUUUGAAGAUUCUUGUUUUACCAGCUGGCUAACUAUGUUCUUUGUGUGUUUGCAGGAACAAAGGACUAAUACACUAUCAAGAAUUAUGCAUAUUCACACUAAUACACUGUAUCAAGAACAGAGGACUAAUACUCUGUAACCCUCAUUAGCUAUAUAUAGCACAACAUGGUACACAACUUUUUUAGCUUCCAAGUGUGGGCAUAUUGUCAUUAUGUAGUUAACUGCAUUGUUGACUGUUUGAAUUGAUGAUUCUUUUUUUGUGAUUUAUGUGCAACAUUUGUUUAUUGCACAUGGUGUGAAGCAAAGCUAAAAUGACAGCACCACUCUUAGGAAGUUGUAAGGUGUUUGAAAGUACAUGUAGUCCCCAUGUGUGGUUUUGGUAAUUAAUGACAAUCCUUAUGGACUAAUGUUUGCAUUGAGAUAUAUACAUUUGAAGGUUAGUCCCAUUGGAAUAUGAUUGAAGAAUAAUGUAAGACAACUCCUUUGAAGCAACAAUUACAUUGAGAUGAUCAAAAUGAAGUUCAUUGGAGUAUCUUAAGGAGUGGCUCAAAGAUAUGAUCAUAAUGGACUCAUGUGUGAGUCAUGAUUGAUCAAGUAUUCAAGCAAGCUAUUCAAGUGAAGAAUUCAAUAUACCCUUCAAGACGUCAAGAUUAAACAUGGAGUAGAGAUAUAGGUUGACCAAGAUGAAGCUCAAAGAUCGAACUCUAAGUGGUCAACACACGAGCGCAAAAGAUGCACCACAUAGGAUCUUGUGGUAUGAUAAGAAAUUAUCAAUUGCACUCUGUGUACUAACCCAUACUAUGUGUUGUCUAUGUUUCUGAGGGUUAGGUGAUGCUCAUGGGCUCGCAUCGAGAAAGAGAUUUCAAGUGUCUAUGAGAGGAUGACAUCAAGUGUUGGUGAUCAUGGUUGACAAGGGCAAGUUCAAGAUAACCAUCCCAAAGGAUUACAUGCUUGAAGCUUGUGGAUGAUCACAUGAUGGAUAAGUGAAGAUGAAUACAAAGCAAAGCUUCCCCACAUUGUGUAUGGGGGAGAGACUUGAAGACUUCACCAAUGUCUUGCCUUCAUCUUGAGCCAAUAAGAAACAUCAACAUCAAGCUCAAGUGAACGGCUCGUGUCAAAGGUAUUAGUUCCUUUGACAUUAGUGUUGUGGAGUGAUGACCACCAAAAAGAAACAUAUACACUCAAAAAUGGAUUCUCGAUAGCUAUGUAGUGUAGCUCUUUUAUGAUUCUUGAGUUAUAGGGAUCCCGCACUAUUAAGAAGGGAUCAAAGGGGUUUGUGAUGGCUUUGCUCAAGUCAACAUCUUUUAUACAUAAUUCCACUCAUAUCCUUUAUACCAAAGAAAAGUCAAAGCCAAAUAGUUUCCCAAAAUAUAUGAUCUAACAUUUCCAUACUUUGUACCCUCCAUUUUGGUUUAUUUUGGGUGGUUCUCUAUUUGAGGACCUGGAGCUUUUCCAUAGCUUCAAAACGAGCCCAAGAUCAUCAAAAUCGGAGUUCGUAUGAAAAAGUUAUGCAUGUUUUACUUUCGGUAUGCUGGCUGUUUUCUGCGGGGACGGAAGUUUCGGGCAGCCCGGAAGUUCCGGGGCCUGGAAGUUCCGGGCAAGUUCCGGGGAAAGUUCCGAGUUAACCAGAGAGUUUGCACAUAUGUGUUUAAUAGGGGGCCUGGAAGUUCCGGGCUUGCCUAGAAGUUCCGGGCUGCGUUUUUCUGUGCGUGACGGGCAGAUUUGGUGGGGCACUAUAUAAGGCACCCUUCUUCCCCAUCGAGUGUGUGCUUUUGGAUCUGAGAUUUCCCCAUUCUUUUGAGCUCUAUCCUCCUCCCCCAAGCCUCAAAACUCCAAUCCAUUUGGGGGGAAACUACUCCAUGGAUCUAGGGUUCAUUGGUUGACCUCCUCCAUUGUUCCUCUCCUCUCCCAUCCCUCCAUAACAUUAGUUGCUUUUGGUGUGAUUUGAGAGAGAGGGAUUUGAGCCUUCUCGUGCUACACCUCGAAGAGAUUUGUGAGAGUUCUUGAGAGAGAUUUCAUCCAAGCAUACAACCACUUCUCCUCUCUCUUUUUACCAAGCAAUUCGUGAUUUGAGCAAGUCUUGAGCAUUCCCCCCUUAAUCUUGUUACUCUUGGAGGUUGGAGACUCCUAGGCGGUAGGAGUGCUCCGGUGAGGAAUCAACUUGUGAUUUGUCCCCUGGAAAGUUUGUGAAGGUUUGGAGGCCACCUCAAGGUCUACCACUAGUGGUUGGGAAUCGCCUUCAUGGUGAUAUCUCAAGGAGAAGAGGGUGAGCCUUCGUGGUGUUGGUGUGCCUUCGUGGUAACAUCCACCUCUCUAACGGUGACUAUCGGUUAUCCCUAACCCUAACUCCUUACUUGUGGUUUACCUUGGUCACUUGACUGUGCAUUCACUAUUCUUGUUGUCCUCAUUAUAUUGUGUUGGUUACCAUAUCUUAGAGAUUAUUUAGGCCAACACUUUAUAGUCCGCAACUCAUACUUCCUACUAUUGUUCUAUCUUGUGUUUAGUGUGAAUUGCUAGCUUGUAACAUAUCUUGUGUAAGCUUGUAGUGCUUACUUGAGUUUGCUUGUAUCAUUCAAUUCCAUAUAUUGUGAUACAAUUUGUGUAAGCUUGUAUUGCCUACUUGUGGAUGUGUGUAUUAUUCAUUUCCAUAUCUUGUGAUAUACAUUAAGUAAGUUUGUGUAACUUGUGCUUACUCAUAUCCUUGUUGUGCUCAUCUUGUUUAUGCUAAGUUGUUGGUGCACUUAGUGAGCCUAGUAUAUUUAUGAUUUGUGCUUGAAAAGUAUCCGCUUAGUUUAUUCCAUCAUUAGGAUAUAGCCAAGUCCGUAAAAGAUUUUAAAAUGCCUAUUCACCCCCCCUCUAGGCGACAUCAUGGUCCUUUCAAUUGGUAUCAGAGCUAGGUCUCUCCUUAUUAGGCUUAACCGCCUAGAGAGUAAUGAUGUCGACUAGUGAACUAGCGCAUGAUGACACAUUUUGUUUUAAUGGCACAAAUUACAUUAUAUGGAGAUUGCGUAUGCUUUGUCACUUUCGGGCCAUGGGUCCAAAUGCUUUGCGGAUUGUGGUUGUAGGGAAUUCAAAUCUAAAGGAUGGACAAUCUCCAUCACUUGAUGAUAUGCAUCUUGAUUGUGAAGCUUUAAGUGUCAUUCACCAAGCUAUAACCUUCGAGGUGUUCAAGUCAAUCUCGUCUUGUUUGUUGGCUCAUGAGGCUUGUACAAAAAUUGAAGAUAUAUAUGGUGGGUCCAAUCUUGAUGAAGACAAUAUUAUUUUUGGGGAGUUAAUGGAGGAGUUCUCCACAUUUCUAAAUCAUGAAGAGCUCUUUAUUGCUUCCACCUUCGAUUACUUGCAUACCCUCAAAAUCUUUCACUUCACGAACAUGUGGCUUACCACAAGGUAAUGACAUGGUAAGUGAAGACAUAUCUCGUGAUGAUGGUAUUAAGAUCUUCAUUGAUGAUCUUGCUUAUGUUGAUAUGAGUGAUGUAUCUUCUAUGGACACGAGCAUAUCUAACACCGAAAAUAUCAUACAUUCUUGUGUAGAGAGUCCUUGCAUAUCAUCUAAUGAUGCACUCAUAAAUUCGUGUGAUGAUAUGCUUGGUCGUUUGUGUUGCUAUAUUCAAAAUGCCGUGAUUCCCUCUAGUUCUCUUUGUGAAACUAACCAUGUAGAGGAAAUCAAGAAAAAUGAGGCAUGCUUGGUUGAUGAAGAACCCUCCUCUCCAAAAGAAUCAUCAUCAACCCCUUGUGUUCACAUGUGCCUCAUGGCAAGAGGUAAUGACGAGGUAUCAUCUUCUCUUAGUGAUAAUGAUGAUAGUUGUAAUGAGGAAGAUGAUGAAGUCUUGACUCAAAAUCUCUAUGAGAUUGGGAAAACUCUUCGUAGAGCUAAAAAUAACACUUAUAAAAGGCUCCAAGAUGUUCUUGCCUGCUUUAAAAAACAUAACGACUUAUUCCUUUACGAGCAAGCAAAAAGUGAACAACUUGAACAUGAACUUGCUAUGGCUCAUCAAUGUCUUAGUGACUUGAGGUCUUUAAAAGAAGAGAUUGAAGUUACUCAUUGUAAACUUAAAGAGGAUUUUGAGCACCUUGACCUUGACUACAAGAAGGUCAAAAGGAGAGCUCACCAAAAUCUCUAAGUCUCAUGAGGAACUUCAAGCUACUCAUGCGGAGUCUCUAGCCUAUACAUGCUCCUCUCAUAUUGAUAAUGAUGCUUGUGCUACUAACUCUAUCUUGUGUGAAGCAUCGAUAUUAAAAGAAAAUGUUGAGCUAAGGACUCAACUUGAUUUGCUAACUAGCAAUUAUGGGAAAUUGGGAGAAAGUCAUAAAAAGCUCUCAGGCAUUCAUGAGGAUCUUCUAAUCUCUCAUGAUGAGUUAAAGUUAGCUCAUGAGGCUAUGGUCACCAAGGUAAAAUCAUGUGAGACUCAUGUGGAUAUUAGCACAUCUUCUACUCGAAAUGCCUUAUUGUCAUGUGCUAGUCCUUGCAAUUCCUCUCUACAUGAUAUUGGUAUAUCUUGUAAUGAAUUGCUCACCAUGCCUUGUUGCUCUAACAAUGAAGCUUCUACUUCCUCUAGUUCUUUUGUUAAUACUAACCUUGUAGAGGAAAAUAAAGAGCUCAAGGCCCAAGUCACUAGUUUGAAGAAAGACUUGGAAAAAUGUUGUGAUAAUAUCUUGAGUGUGCAAAAGGACCCUCAAGACAAAAUAGGACUUGAUUUCAUCUACAACAAGAAGAAGCCCAAGAACAAGAAGAAGGGACAAGCUCAAGUCAAGAAUUCGUCCAACAUUACUUGCUUCAAGUGCAAGAAUGUUGGACACCAUGUGAGAUCUUGUCCAUUGAAGAAGAAGGCUUCAAAUGUGAAGCAUCAAGGGAAGUGGCCUCAAGUUCAAUAUCAAGAUAAUGAAAGGCCUCUUCCCAUGACUAACCAAGAUAAUGCUCUCCAAGUUAAAAAGGUAAAGAAGAAGAGAAAGGGGAGCGCAUGUUGCUAUAUUUGCCGUAAGAAGGGACACAUAGCUUCAUCUUGUCCCAACGGUAACAUAUCUAAGACUCCUAUAGUCAAUAAUCAUUAUUCGCUAAGGAAGGAUAUUGUUGGCAAUGUGUUUGCCAAGUUUGUGGGUUCCCAAAGAAGUUUGAAAGUGGACAAGACCAUUUGGGUUGCCAAGCCUAUUGUUAUUAACUUCUUAGGACCCAACUUGGUUGGGGACCAUCAAGCUCAAACUUGAUCAAUAGGUGUGUGGAGGGCAUUGGAGACUUGGCUACUUCAUGAAGAAAAACUAUUUUCACCAUAUGUUAUGGCUAAUGCCAAGUCAAGUGGAUUAUCAUCGUAUCUAUCAAUCCAAUACUCCUAUUUGCGGUAACUUGUACUUGCAUUGUUUACAUUGAAAGUUACUAUGUCCCUUGCAUGUUUAGGUUUUGUACCUAGCAUGUGCUUGUAUAGUUGUGCUUCCUAGUAUGCUUGAUUUGUGUUAUCUAGCAUUUGUAGGUUCAAUGCACUUAAUAUAUUUGUGUGUGUGGUUUCAAGCCUUUAUUGCUUCAUUAGUUGAAUCUUCCUUGGCUCUUUUGAGAUAUUUACGGAUAUCACAAACCUUAAAUGUGUAUGUAAGUGGGAUACCACCCAGUAUUGUUAGUGCAAUAUUAUCUAGUUACUAUGUGGUAUGUAAAGCUCAUUUGAAAUUCAAAUUCUCUCCAUUAAUUAUCAUUAGUUGGGUUUUAUUUGCUUCUUGUGGAUAAUACAUGGAUCAUCAUAUUAUGGGGGAGUGAUAUGCUUUGUGCAUAUCACAAUCCUUAUUAAUAUGAACAAUUAUGGGAUGCCACUUAUAAUAUAUUUGAGAUUAUCUUAUAUCUCUGUGGCAUGCAAUGCCUUGUUUACAUAUGGCAUUUUUGUGUGGUUUUGCCCAUGGCUAUCUUCAAAAUCAUAUUUGGAAAAUCGGUUGAUUAAAGCUAUUCCAAUUGUUGCUUUGCAUGAUGAUCUAUCUAAUUGGAAUGUUAAUAAUAUACUAUCCAAGCAUUGUGUUUAUUUCUAAAACUCUCAUGUUAUGCUUGUGUUAGUAUAGAUGAUCAUGUACUUAUUUUGUUUCUACACCGAAUGAUAACCCAAAAUGCCAUUUUGUUCAAAUUCAUCUUAUUGGUUUGUAUGGAGGUAUGGGAUUUUGCUAUCUCAUUGUUUAUAGUGUCCUACAUCUACUUGAGUGAGAUAUUCCUAUGAGUAUGUGUGCAAUGCAUAUCUUAUACGUGCUCGUUGGUUUUCUUUGGUUCAUAUGUUGAACUUUGUGCGCUAUCAUAUGUUGAUUUGUCACUUUGAUUCAUUUUAGACACAUUAAUGACUAGUGAUGUUAUUGGAAGUAUUAACGGUUAUGUGUUCAUUUGUCCAAUUUGUAUCUCCCUAGCUUUUGGUAGGCUUGUGCAUGCAUAUUUACUAUGUGUAAAUUCACAUGCCUUGUUUUCUUUAUUUUAUCCAUCAAAUUCUUAAUAGCUAAGAUGUGCAUGAAAUUCAAAUUCAUAUCGAUAUGCACAUACUUAAGUGGUUUUACCCUAUGUGUUGUAGUUGUGCUAACUGCUUCGGACCCAAUAAGUUUGGGGACCAUAUUAUAUUUAAAAUGUUUUAGGUACAUUUGAGAAGCAUUGGGUGCUUGGCUUAUUCAUGAAGGUGGUGGCACUAUGAGGAAAUUAGAACCAAGAUUGGACAUAUUAUUGAUCUACGACUUCAUACCAAUGCUAUCUCGGUAACAACUAUUUACUUCAUGCAUAUAUAUAUAUAGAAAUGGGGUCAACCGUGUGUAGGUUGCAUCAUGGCAUGAAUUUCUUGACUCAUUCAUGUGAUACUUGUAUCCUUUCUCAAAGCAUCCCAACAAUGAUCUCUUGUUGCUAGUUAUGAUGUCUUUGAUGGUUGUGUGUUUGGAGUUCAUUAAUAUACAAUAAGAUUAUAUUAAGCCAUGUGCUAUGCUUUCAAGCAAAGAUCUCAUUGGUAUAUUUUAUGACUCCCGUUUGGAUAUCUUAUUCUUUCCUUUAGUAACUAUUUCAUGUGUACAUCCUUCUUUGUGGAUAUCAUCUACCUAGAAUCUUAUACACAUGAGAGAAGUUACAUCUCUAGUUGAUAUCCCUAUUCUUUCAUGUCCACCAUUUCAUUCUCUUUUUAUAUCUUUGGUGGCUCCAUGGAAGCAUUUGUUGUAUGAGUGCGUUUAUUACCUCUUUGCAUCUUAGUGCACUCAUUUUUGGUGAAGAUUAUUGUCCUCAUGCUUGUCUUGAGAAACCUAUUAUUUCCUAUCUUCAUCAUGGGUUGUCACAAGCUUUGAUUUAAUUUUCUAUUAGUGAGCUUGUGAACCCAUUUGCUUGAUGUGUGUGUGACCUUCUUAACUUCGUGUGUGUGGGAAGGACAUGUCUUGCACCUUGUAUCUCAUUUACUCAAGACUAUGUUGAUUCUUAAUUCUCAUCCUUAUAUUAGUCUUCUCAAGUGCUUUGACGUGAUUCACACACAUCAUUUUGGUUGUGCCUAUUCUUAGGUUGCCUCAUUCACAUGUUGCUCAACCAUAUGCUUGUUGCAAAUGCUAGGCUUCUUUUCUUAUCUAUGCUUGCUUGCAAUUGUUUUGUGUUCUUAUUGAUUUUGGGGGAGUGAUGAUCCUAUUUUGUGCACUUGUAUCCAAAUACAGAAAAUAUAUUCUAAAUAGUGCACAAAUCAUGGCGAGCUUCUCUAUUUUCCUUAGAACACUCCUUUGCCCAAAUCAUAAUAUUCUUUUAUCCUUUUGGCUUAUCGGAUCUUUUGAUUGCUUGCUUCACUUUGUGUUAUGCAAAUGAGAUCAAUUUGUGCCAUGUGCUUUGUGCCAUGUUCCUUGCUAUUAUGACUAGGUUUCAGUGGUAUAAUAAUGGAUUCACUUGUGUAUAUCAUGUUCUUAUCAAUUGCGUCUAUUUUGUGUAUGCAUAGUUUCUUUGUGGAUACAUAUCAUGAUUAUGAUUGGACACUCAGAAAUUUUUCUACAUGAGAAAGUUCAUAUCUUUCCUUGAUAUCAUUUAUUCCUUGCCGGCCACUUUGUUUGUUUCCUCUUAUUCUUAUGGUAGCUUUGGUAAGAGGUUGUGUCAUGAGUGCUUGUAUGUUUGACAUAUAAUCUUGCACACUCAUGUGUUUUGAUUGUUUUCCUCUCAUGUCUAAUGCUUGUUUUCAUAUCUUCAUAUCUGGUUGCAUUCUAUAGAUUCUGAGCUCCUCAAAUUUUUAAUUAUUGUAUAUGUGCACUUGCGUUCACUCACAUUUUGUGAUAUGCACACAUCAAGGAGGAACUCAUACUAUAUUGGUCUUCUAGAUGUUUUGUGUCACGCCCAAUAUGCGACCCUAUCCAAAAGGAACUCGAAGGUCCCACCAAGGAUAGACCCGCAUAUUGAAACGCUUUUGCAAGGUGGAUAUCAUCACAUUAACAUUACAUAAUAGAUGGGGAUACAUACAUAAGGCAUACAAUGCCACACGAAUACAACAUCAUCUUACAUAAGAGCACCAUCCGACUACGGAUGAAACACAAACAGAAACUCAAACGACAUCCACCCUAGCCCAGGCUGCCGACCUGGAACCUAUCCCCUGAUCGAAGAAGCAGAAGAAGAACUCAACGCAAGCAAGCAUCGCUCUCGCGUCAUGAUCAUCGCAAAAACCUGUACCUGCAACUGUUGUUGUAGUAAUCUGUGAGCCACGAGGACUCAGCAAUCCCAUUACCAUGGGUAUCAAGACUAGCAAAGCUUAAAGGGAAAGGAAGGGGUAAAGUGGUGAGGUUGCGGCAGCGACUAAGCAUAUAUGGUGGCUAACAUACGCAAAUAAGAGCGAGAAGAGAACAAGCGGAACGGUCGUGAAGCUAGCAAUGAUCAAGAAGUGAUCCUGAACUCCUACUUACGUCAAACAUAACCCAGAAACCGUGUUCACUUCCCGGACUCCGCCGAAAAGAGACCAUCACGGCUACACACACGGUUGAUGCAUUUUAAUUCGGAUCUGGUAUCAAGUUAUCUACAACCGGACAUUAACAAAUUCCCAUCUGCCUAGAACCGCAGGCACGGCUUUUGAAAGAUUAUACCCUGCAGGGGUGUCCCAACUUAGCCCAUGAUAAGCUCUCGCGAUCAACGAAGGAUAUACCUUCUCCCAGGAAGACCCGAUCAGACUCGGAAUCCCGGUUUACAAGACAUUUCGAUAAUGGUAAAACAAGACCAGCAAGACCGCCCGAUGCGCCGACAAUCCCGAUAGGAGCUGCACAUAUCUCGUUCUCAGGGCAACACCGGAUGAGCAAUCCGUACAACUAAAACCAGACCUCAAGUUUCCCUGAGGGGGCGCUGCAAAGGGCUCUAGUUCGGACCAACACUUAGACAAGCACUGGCCCGGGGGGGGGGGCUAUAAUAAAGAUGACCCUCGGGUUAAUUACUCCCAAGGGAAAUGUAGGUGGUGGUGAGGCAAAUGGUAAAACCAAUGUUGGGCCUUGCUGGAGGAGUUUUAUUGAAAGCGAACUGUCAAGGGGGUCCCAUAAAUCACCCGACCGCGUAAGGAAUGCAAAAUCCGAGAACAUAACACCAGUAUGAUGGAAACUAGGGCGGCAAGAGUGGAACAAAACACCAGGCAUAAGGCCGAGCCUUCCACCCUUUACCAAAUAUAUAAAUGCAUUAAUAAUAUAAGAGAUAUUGUGAUAUCCCAACAUAACCCUGUCCACCAUGGAGCAAUCUUCAACUUCACCUGCAACUAACAACGCUAUAAGAGGGGCUGAGCAAAAGCGGUAACAUAGCCAAACAACGGUUUGCAUAGGAAAAGUGUCAAAGGUUAGAGGUUCAUGGCAAUAUGGGAGGCUUGAUAAACAGGUGAUAGGUAGCGCAGCAAAGCGAUAGAACGAAGCAACUAGCAUAACAAUGAUAGUAGUGAGAUCCAGGGUAGCGGUCAUCUUGCCUGAAAUCCCGCAAGGAAGAAGAACGAGUCCAUGAAGAAGAUGAAGCCACGAAGACGAACCAAGCGUAGACGAACGAAUCCUCACGAUCGCAACGAAAUGGGAACUAUCGAGAAGAAGCACACAACAUAGUAAACACACCACACAUGAACAAGACAUGAUGCUCAACCAAGUAUGAUGCAAGGCAAGACUACAUGAAGCUUCUCAUGGCAAGAGAUGAUGCAAACAAGAGCAACACAUCAAGACAAGAUUAAAUGAGGCCGGGAACAACAUAUAACAAUUGCAGUAAGUCCUCAUAUGCAAAUUUCGAAGUUGGUACAGAUCUGAAUAAACCUUAUGUUCAAGUUGUUAAACAUCAAGUUAAGAUGCACCAUGAUGAUCUAUACGAGAUUCUAGUCAAGUUACAUAUAAAGUUCAUUUAAUUCGGAGCUACGGCCUAGAAAAUAUGAGCAAAACAAGUUAAACAUGGCAUUGAUGCGAAAUGCACCCAAACAUCAAGAAAACACCUCAAAACAAGGAUGCAACAUGAUAAUAUGAAACUACAUGAAAUUCUAAGCAAGUUUCAUAUAGAGCACACUCAAAACGGAGCAACGGUUCAACACACACUCUAUACAAGUUUAAAGGACAAGCUGUUCAAAACAUCAACUAGGCAUAUUGCAAGCACCAAAACAACAUCCUACAGGACCUCAACAUGAAAACAAACGACAUGGGCAUGAAGUACAGGUAAAGCAUAACAAAAAAUGAACACUGAGCUAUCUCCAGAAAUCACUAGAACAUGCUCAAACACACAUGGCAAGAUUGCAAAUAAUAACAGUUUCAGACUUUACAGAAAUUAACAUCAGGUUGCAAUGUUUAGAGCUAUCAAACCACAUGUUACAGGAACUUAACAUGGCAAACAAAGGCAUGUCAUGAAUCUACUAAACCCAUAGAUCAAAAGUCCCUUACUGACCAUAAGCCAAAAAGGACCAGAAGAUAUGAUGGCACCCAUGUAAACAUAGCAAGUUUCGUUAACAGAUUCAGCAAACAGAGCAUGGCAUUGACAGAAUUAUGAAGGCAUCUUCGUGAGCUCGAUGCACUCACUAUAGAGCAUUUCAUGAUAAACUAAGCAUACAUACAUCAAGAAGACAUGGCAUACAAGCUAUACAUGGCAAGAAGAACAUCAUAGCAUACACGGAUCAACUACAACAACCUUGGCAAAAUUGAAUAACAUGUAAACAAUCUGCCAGGAAACAUUUCGAAGCAAAAGUAGAGCACGAAAAUGACCUGCUAGACUACUCCAUAAUUGCAACCAAGGGCAUUAAUGGAUAGAGAACAACCAUAUGUUCAAAACACCCUUACUAAAGUAUCUCAAAAUAUGCAUGGAUCUCUUUGUAGCAUCAUGUUUACAUGGCAUCAAAAUAAUAGCAGAACAGGGACUGAAAUCAGCAACAUUACGAAGCCUAGUUUGCAUGCUUGUGCUAGUCACCACAUUGAUCACAAAAAUACAUGGUAAGCACCUCUGUAAAGAAGACAUAGCAUAGAUUAAAACACAUGUAGACAUCAACCUCAUAGGAUGCACACAUCAAUCAUGGCAAAAAUGACAAAAGAGCUCGUUAUAACAGUUUCAGCAGAUUAACAUCAUGAAGCACUCUUGCAACGAUGAUUCGGGCAUCAAGAUGAGCUCAAAUGAAUAUGAUGCAAUGGAAUGAAAUGAUUUACUCGUUGAGGCGAACAAUUUGACAUAUUACACGCAUGAAACGGAGCUACGGAUGCAGAAAUACACUGCGAUGACCAUGGCAUGAUAAUGUAACAGAUUCGGGGACAACAGUUUUCUGAAAAAGACAGACCGAGCGCAAUAUAGCAAUAUGUCGCCUGGGCGGGGAAUAGGUGUAUCUCACCACGGGCUUCGGCCUAGAGAGGAAGGAGAGGCAGGCCGGGGCUGGGCCGAGGAGAUGGGCCAGCCGGGGGGCGCGACCCACGUGCAGAGGCACAGCUGCGCGUGUGCCCGCACGCGCGCAGGGUCGGGGAAGGUCGCGCUGGCGGCGGUUUCCGGCGAUGGAGGGGCGGCGGCGGGGUCCGACGGGGCCGGCAAGGGCGGAGGAGGCCAUGGGGCGCGGUUCCGGCCGGAUCCGGACGGAUCUGGCCCCGAGGAGGCCGGCGGCGAGCGGGAUGCGGAGGCGGCAGCGACGAACUCCGGCAGGCCGGCGCGGGAGGCGUGCGGGACGGCGCCAGCGGUGAAGGCGAAUGGCGGCGGGGCACCGACGAGGAGGCGACGUCCUGCGGGGCGCGGGGCGGAGUCCGGUGGCGGCGGCGAGGGCGGGACUCCCUCCCGAUCCAGAUCGGAUCGAGGAGCGGGACCGCGGGCGACGGGCGCUGGCUGCGAGCGGGAUCCGGGCUCGGGCGGGCCUCCCAGGGCCCGAUCUGGGUCCUAGCGGCCCUGGCAGCGCUGACUGGUGGGGGGAGCGAGGCAGGGACAUGUGGCGCGAGGGGAUUGGAGGGGAGCUGCGGCUGGCUGAGGUGGCGCCCUAGGAGUGCUGGAAAGACGUGGUGACGGCGGCGCCAAGUGGCGGAGGCGGGAUGGGCCAGCACGGAAAAUGAGGAGAAGGUGGGAGGUGGCGGCUGCAGGAGGUUAGGGGAGGCUAGGGGCUAGGGUUGCCCAAUUUAGGAAGGAGGGGUGUUUAUAUAGGGUAAGGCUAGGGUUAGGGGGGGUUUUGGAGGGGUUUCGGACCCUCGGAUCUCGAUCUGGCGGUCCGGAGCGGAGGGGGUUUUAGGUGGGCUGCAGGUGGGCUGUGACGAGAGGGUCUGGACUGAGGGGAGAGAAGAGAGGUGCGGCCCGGCGGCAGUUUCGGAAGCCGAAACGUCCGACGAAGGUACCGACAACGGUACCGCUAUACAUUUAAUGGUUGGGCUAUCAGAUGGACUCCGAAUGUGACGAAACUUGGCAGGCGGCCUGUCUACACUAUAAUAAGACCGCACGACAAGUUGCAACCCAUUCCGAGAACAUUUUUAUGCCACUUAUAAAAUAAUAUUUCGGAGGUGCCGCGGGCGCGUGCGAGUGUGUCUAGGCUCCGAACGGACAACGGAGAGGACCGGCGGAACCCGAACGGAUGCAAGUUUUGAAAAACAUGCAAAUGAAAUGCAGAUGAUGACAUGGCAAAAUGUAACACGCAAGCAAAUGACAUGGCAACGACGGCAAAUAACUAGGAAACACCUGGCACAUCGAAUCCGGGGCGUUACAUUUUGUCUUCCAUUUUGGCAUUUGUUGCCAAUGGGGGAGAAGUUUAGAGGGUUUAAGAUAAAUAUAUUUGAAGUUCUUGUUGUAAUUCAUGCAUACCCACCCUAGUUAUAUAUGCUUGUUGCAUGAAUGAAUAUAUAGAAAAAAACUCCAACUAGUUUAUAUCAACCAAUAUAUGCAAUGAAAUUCAAAGUUCAUUCACACAUGCAUAUAUUGUGGGGGAGCUUGCUCUAUAUAUUGAGGUCUUACUAACAUCAAAUGCUUGUGUAGUGUUUUGAUGUUAGUACAACCGGUUUUGAUAAACAUCAAGUUUCUUUGUGAUAAUCAAUGUUAUCAAAGUCACCGCAAGUAUACAAUUUAUCCUAGAAAAAGUGUGUGCUUGUGUAAAAAUUCAUUAUAUAAACCCUCUUGUUGAGAUUGUCAUCAAUUACCAAAAUGGGGGAGAUUGAAAGUACAUGUUGUCCCCAUGUGUGGUUUUGGUAAUUAAUGACAAUCCUUAUGGACUAAUGUUUGCAUUGAGAUAUACAUUUGAAGGUUAGUCCCAUUGGAAUAUGAUUGAAGAAUAAUGGAAGACAACUCCUUUGAAGCAAUAGUUACAUUGAGAUGAUCAAAACGAAGUUCAUUGGAGUAUCUUAAGGAGUGGCUCAAAGAUAUGAUCAUAAUGGACUCAUGUGUGAGUCAUGAUUGAUCAAGUAUUCAAGCAGGCUAUUCAAGUGAAGAAUUCAAUAUACCCUUCAAGAGGUCAAGAUUAAACAUGGAGUAGAGAUAUAGGUUGACCAAGAUGAAGCUCAAAGAUCGAACUCUAAAUGGCCAACACACGAGGCGCAAAUGAUGCACCACAUAAGAUCUUGUGGUAUGAUAAGAAAUUAUCAAUUGCACUCUGUGUACUAACCCAUACUAUGUGUUGUCUAUGUUUCUGAGGGUUAGGUGAUGCUCAUGGGCUCGCAUCGAGAAAGAGAUUUCAAGUGUCUAUGAGAGGAUGAUAUCAAGUGUUGGUGAUCAUGGUUGACAAGGGCAAGUUCAAGAUAACCAUCCCAAAGGAUUACAUGCUUGAAGCUUGUGGAUGAUCACAUGAUGGACAAGUGAAGAUGAAUACGAAGCAAAGCUUCCCCACAUUGUGUAUGGGGGAGAGACUUGAAGACUUCACCAAUGUCUUGCCUUCAUCUUGAGCCAAUAAUAAACAUCAACAUCAAGCUCAAGUGAACGGCUCGUGUCAAAGGUAUUAGUUCCUUUGACGUUAGUGUUGUGGAGUGAUGACCACCAGAAAGAAACAUAUACACUCAAGAAUGGAUUCUCGAUAGCUAUGUAGUGUAGCUCUUUUAUGAUUCUUGAGUUAUAGGGAUCCCGCACUAUUAAGAGGGUCAAAGGGGUUUUUGAUGGAUUUGCUCAAGUCAACAUCUUCUAUACACAAUUCCACUCAUAUCCUAUAUACCAAAGAAAAGCCAAAGCCAAAUAGUUUCCCAAAAUAUAUGAUCUAACAUUUCCAUACUUUGCACCCUCCAUUUUGGUUUAUUUUGGGUGGUUCUCUAUCUGAGGACCUGGAGCUUUUCCAUAGCUUCAAAACGAGCCCAUGAUCAUCAAAAUCGGAGUUUGUAUGAAAAGUUUACGCAUGUUUUACUUUCGGUAUGCUGGCUGUUUUCUGCGGGGACAGAAGUUCCGGGCAUCCCGGAAGUUCCGGGCAAGUUCCGGGGAAAGUUCCGGGUUAACUAGAGAGUUUGCACAUAUGUGUUCAAUAGGGGGCCCGAAAGUUCCGGGUUGCGUUUUUCUGUGCGUAACGGGCAGAUUUUGUUGGGCACUAUAUACGGCACCCUUCUUCCCCAUCGAGUGUGUGCUUUUGGAUCUGUGAUUUCCCCAUUCUUUUGAGCUCUAUCCUCCUCCCCCAAGCCUCAAAACUCUAAUCCAUUUGGGGGGAAACUACCCCAUGGAUCUAGGGUUCAUUGGUUGACCUCCUCCAUUGUUCCUCUCCUCUCCCAUCCCUCCAUAGCAUUAGUUGCUUUUGGUGGGAUUUGAGAGAGAGGGAUUUGAGCCUUCUCGUGCUACACCCCGAAGAGAUUUAUGAGAGUUCUUGAGAGAGAUUUCAUCCAAGCAUACAACCACUUCUCCUCUCUCUUUUGACCAAAGCAAUUCGUGAUUUGAGCAAGUCUUGAGCAUUUCCCCCUUAAUCUUGUUACUCUUGGAGGUUGGAGACUCCUAGGCGGUAGGAGUGCUCCGGUGAGGAAUCAACUUGUGAUUUGUCCCCCAGAAAGUUUGUGAAGGUUUGGAGGCCACCUCAAGGUCUACCACUAGUGGUUGGGAAUCGCUUUCGUGGUGAUAUCUCAAGGAGAAUAGGGUGAUCCUUCGUGGCGUUGGUGUGCCUUCGUGGUAACAUCCACCUCUCUAACGAUGACUAGCUUCCCUCCAAUGAAGUGAACAUCGGGAUACAUCAUCGUUUCCGUGACUUCGAUUAUCCCUAACCCUAACUCCUUACUUGUGGUUUACCUUGGUCACUUGACUGCGCAUUCACUAUUCUUGUUGUCCUCAUUAUAUUGUGUUGGUUACCAUAUCGUAGAGAUUAUUUUGGCCAACACUUUAUAGUCCGCAAUUCAUACUUCCUACUAUUGUUCUAUCUUGUGUUUAGUGUGAAUUGCUAGCUUGUAACAUAUCUUGUGUAAGCUUGUAGUGCUUACUUGAGUUUGCUUGUAUCAUUCAAUUCCAUAUAUUGUGAUACAAUUUGUGUAAGCUUGUAUUGCCUACUUGUGGGUGUGUGUAUUAUUCAUUUCCAUAUCUCGUGAUAUUUUGUGUAACUUACUUGUGCUUACUCAUAUCCUCGUUGUGCUCAUCUUGUUUAUGCUAAGUUGUUGGUGCACUUAGUGAGCCUAAUAUAUUUAUGAUUUGUGCUUGAAAAGUAUCCUCUUAGUUUAUUCCCGCAUUAGGAUAUAGAUAAAUCCGUAAAAGAUUUUAAAACGCCUAUUCACCCCCCUCUAGGCGACAUCGUGGUCCUUCUAGUGUUGUACUAUUGUUUUGCUGUAGGUGACUAGCAACAGAGGAAAGUUUUCCAGGGGGUUUCAUUUACACCCUUGAAGCUUACUGAUGUUUCGUUAGCAGGAGAGGAAACUUAAGUAUUUGUAUUAAGAACUGUAGAUUCAAUAAAAUAGUGUAAUAUCUAUGAGUUGUUGUGUUAGAAAGGUCGGUUCCGAACUAAGAUUCAGAUUUCAGAACAUACACACACAUUGCCCAGUUGCUACUUUCUAGAAGUUUUACCAAGUACAGUUACAUGUCAGCUUUUAGAAGUUUUACUAAGUACAGUUACAUGUAAGCUGUUAGGAGUUUUAUUAGUAAGUACAGUUACAUGUCAGCUGUUAGAAGUUGUACUAAGUACAACUACAUGUCAGUUGUUAGAAUAAGCUGGGAUAAAAAUAUAUUAGAAAGGCCUGAUAAUGCCAUAGUCAUUUUCCUUGUAAAAAAUAAAAUAAAAUGUUACCCAUUUUGGACUGAAAACAUGUUGCACGAUCAGGACUACAUUGAUGUUGUAUGAUUACUUCUUGCUACACAAACCUAAAUCUUUCUUGUAGUUGGUGACAUGUGCUUUAAUGUCUUCACGUUUUGCUAGGCAUAAUUGGCUUGUCCUGAGGAGAUAAUCCUUGGUUGCUUCCUACUUGUUUCACCUUGAAGAGGAUGUUAUAGGUUUGACAAAAUCUGUGGUGCAUCACAUACUUCUGUUGCUGCAGCAUCAAACUAUUGAGAGUCUCAUUACAUACUUCUAUAGUUCUGUUGCUGCACCAUCUGCGGUUCAUGUUUGUUCUGCACAUACCAAAUUUCUGGCUUCCAGGAGCACCGAAGAAUCUGCUUAGUUUUUGUCUGAGCUAUGUGUUCGUUGACUGUAAAUGCCUCUAUGUUCAUGGCUAUGGAUCAUUCCCUGCAGAAUUAGCAAAUGUGUGAUAUUUUGUUAUUCUUUCUGUUUCUUGCUGAGCAUAUAAAUGAGCACAAUCGUAAUUUUUGUUGAAAGGGAGAUGGCCCUAAUGCAGUGGUAACUGUUGAGGUUGCUGCUGACAACAGGUAGCGAAAAAAGGGUACCAAUAUUUACAUAUUGUGAGCUUGCUGAUAAAUCAUCGUACUUGCUUAAUCAUCCAUUAUCAACCAGUAUAUUAAAUGUUUAUUUGAUGUGGAUGCACCAUAGAGUAGUGUUCUUCUUUUGCUAUUGCUUUUAAAUUUCAAUGUCAGUGCAAUAAAACAGUAUGGCUUUUGCUGAGAUUUUCAAAAUUGAAGCUAAUUGGUUUGAUGUUGUGCAAUGUUGAAAGUUAGAAUCUUUGAAAUAAAUGGACAAAGUAGUUUCUUCUGUAUACUAGAUCAGACAAUCCUUAUCUACUGGAAGUACAUUGUUGAAUCUUAGAGGUUGAUUGGUUUGCUACCAACAUUUGGCAAGCGAAACAUCUUGCAAAAUCAAAAAUUACCAACAUUUAGCAACCUUUUGUGAGAUUUACAACCAAAAUAGACAAGCAACCAAUCUCUAGCCAACAUUUGACAGCUGCCAAAAUUUAAACUUGUUUGACAUUGCGAACAAUUUUUGGAGAAUAUGGAGAAUCUUUGAGAACACAUAAAAUCAUUUUGAAAUUCUUAACACAUUUUUAAAAAUGAGAAUAAAAAUUGAAAUUAUGUUUUUUUAUUUGAAGCAAUUUUGGAAACACGAACAAUGUUUUCUUAAAAAAUGAACAAACUUUUCUUAAAAGGCAUAACUUAAAGACUUCGAAUAUUUUCUUAAAGAAUAAACAAAUUUUAAAAUAUAUUAAACAUUCUUUGAACUUUGUGAUUUUUAAAAAGAAAAAAGAAGAACAAAAAGUAACAUAAAAGAAAAGAAAAGAAAAGAAAAGAAAAAAGAAACAAAAAAAAUCGAUUCAUUAACCUUGUGUAAGGUCCCAGACCAGUUUGUGCUUUUAAACAUUUCUUUAAAAUUUUAAAAAACAUUUGCUUCUUCAAAAAAGUUAAAGAAAUACAAAUAUUUUUCACUUUUUUUACAAAAAUUUCAAAAAAAUGUUGUCUUUCAAAAUUGCUCAGAAUGUCAGAACAUUCGAUUAAAAGGCCAAUAAAUGGCAAGACGUGUUGCAUCGUGCAAACGGUGUUGAAAUUCGAUCAAACCUUGCAUGAAUGUCUACCAUGGGCAUGCCCACCAUGUUGCCAAAGUUGGUGUCAUUUCAAGAAUGUCUAGAAAUAGACCAUGUUCAACGAAGGGUGUCCGAGUAGCCACAAGGCUCCGUUUGAGAGCACGUUAUUUCUCAACAUCCUUGAAAUGACCCCAAGUUUUUCCAUAGAUUUGUAUGACCAAUUCGAGGUACCAUGCCAUGUUGUUUUGGUUUUUGACAAAUUUUGCAUUUUUUGGAGUUUUCUCGGCCAAGAAAGACCAAUUAAUGACCGGACGUGUCACAACAUGCAAACGUCGUUGGAAUUUGAUCAAACCUUGCAUGCAUGUCUAACAUAGGCAUACCAACAUUCUUUCAAAAGUUGGUGUCAUUUCAAGAAUGUACAAAAAUAGACCAUGUUCAACGGAGGGUGUCCGGAUAGACCAAAAGGCUUCGUCUGAGAGCAUGUCUUUUCUUAACAUUCUUGAAAUGGCCUCAAUUUUUUCGUGUCCUUGUAUAACCAAUUGAACACACCAUGCCAAGUUGCUUUGGUUUUUCACAAGUUUUGCGUUUUCUGGAGUAUUCCUGGUGAAAAAUGACCAAUAAAUGGCCAGACAUGUCGUAGCAUGCAUACGGUGUCGGAAGUCAUUCAAAGCAGGUAUGUAUGCCUAACAUGGGCAUGCCCACCUUCUUGCAAAAGUUAGGGUCACUCCUGAGAUUUCCAAGAAACUACCAUGUUCAACAGAGAGUGUUCGGGUUUGCCAGAAGGGUCCAUUUGAGAGCACGUCGCUUCUCAACAUUCUUUCAGUGACCCCGAUUUUUUUUGUGGCCUUGUAUGACCAAUUCUAGGCACCAUGCCAACUUGUUUUAGUUUUGGACAAGUUUUGCAUUUUCUGGAGUUUUCUCAGUUAAAAAAGGUUGAUAAAUGAUUAGACGUGUCACAACUUGCAUACGGUGUCGGAAGUCGUCCAGACCAGACAUAGAUUCCUACCAUGAGCAUGCCCACCUGCUUGCAAAUGUUGGGCUCAUUUCAAGAAUGUCCAAAAGUACAACAUGUUCAACAGAGGUUGUUCGUGUAACCAUGAUACGUCUCCAAUGUAUCUAUAAUUUUUGAUUGUUCCAUGUUAUUAUAUUAUCCAUCUUGGAUGUUUUAUAUGCAUUUAUAGGCCAUUUUACAUGAUUUUUGUGACUAACCUAUUAUCCUAGAGCCUAGUGCUUGUUUCUGUUUUUUCCUUGUUUUGAGUCUUACAGAAAAGGAAUACCAAACGGAGUCCAAAUGACCUGAAAAUUUACGGUGAUUUUUCAUGGACCAGAAGAAGCCCCCGAAGAAAAAAAGAUUUGGGCCAGAAGAGUCCCGAAUCAAGCACAAGGGUGGAGGGAGCGCCCUACCCCCCGAGAGGGUGCUCCGAUCUUGUCGUUAACUCGUGGACCCCCCUGACAUGAAACCAACGCAAAAAAUUCCUAUAAAUACAGGAACCCUCGAAAAGAAACCUAGAUCGGGAGUUCCUCCGCCGCAAGCCUCUGUAGCCAUGAAAAACCUCUCAGGACCUUGUUCCAGCACCCUGCCGGAGGGGGAAUCCAUCACCGGUGGCCAUCUUCAUCAUCCCGGCGCUCUCCAUGACAAGGAGGGAGUAGUUCACCCUCGAGGCUGAGGGUAUGUACCAGUAGCUAUGUGUUUGAUCUCUCUCUCUCUCUCUCUCUCUCUCUCUUGUGUUCUUGAUUUGGCAUGAUCUUGAUGCACCGAAAACUUUGCUACUAUAGUUGGAUCUUAUGAUGUUUCUCCCCCUCUACCUUCUUGUAAUGGAUUGAGUUUUCCCUUUGAAGUUAUCUUAUCGGAUUGAGUCUUUAAGGAUUUGAGAAGACUUGAUGUAUGUCUUUCAUGUGCUUAUCUGUGGUGACCAUGGGAUAUUCACGUGAUCCACUUGAUGUAUGUUUUGGUGAUCAACUUGCGGGUUCUGUGACCUUGUGAACUUAUCCAUAGGGGUUGGCGCACGUUUUCGUCUUGACUAUCCGGUAGAAAUUUUGGGCACCCUUUGAAGUUCUUUAUGUUGGUUUGAAUAGAUGAAUCUCAGAUUGUGUGAUGCAUAUCGUAUAAUCAAACCCGCGAAUACUUGUGGUGACAUUGAAGUAUCUGGGUAACAUUAGGGUUUCGGUUGAUGUGUGUCUUAAGGUGUUAUUUUAGUACAAACUCUAGCCAAAUAGAUCAAUCAGAAAGAAUAACUUUGAGGUGGUCAUGUACCCUAGAAUAAUCUCUUCGUUUGUUCUCCGCUAUUAGUGACUUUGGAGUGACUCUUUGUUGCAUGUUGAGGGAUUGUUAUAUGGUCCAAUUAUGUUACCAUUGUUGAGAGAGCUUGCACCAGUGAAUGUAUGAACCCUAGGCCUUGUUUCGAAGCAUUGCAAUACCAUUUUUGCUCACUUUUGUUACUUGCUACCUUGCUGUUUUUAUAAUUUCAGAUUACAAAAACGUAUAUCUAUCAUCCAUAUUGCACUUGUAUCACCAUCUCUUCGCCGAACUAGUGCACCUAUACAAUUACCAUUGUAUUGGGUGUGUUGGGGACACAAGAGACUCUUUGUUAUUAGGUUACAGGGUUGUUUGAGAGACACUAUCUUCAUCCUAUGCCUCCCACGGAUUGAUAAACCUUAGGUCAUCCACUUGAGGGAAAUUUGCUACUAUCCUACAAAACUCUGCGCUUGGAGGCUCAACACGAGUCUACAAGAAGAAGGUUGCGUAGUAGACAUCAACCUCUUUUCUGGCGCCGUUGCCAGGGAGGUUAGUGCUUGAAGGUAUAUCUUCAAAUCUUUCAAUUGAAUCUUUUAGUUUCUUGUUUUAUCAUUAGUUUAGUCUAUAAAAAAGAAAACUAAAAAAAUAUGGAAUUGAGGUUGCCUCAUAUGCUUCAUCUUUUUAAUGUCUUUCGUGAAAAUAAGGAUUCCGAUAAUUGUGCUCAAUUGCUAGAGGAAGAAUGCAAUAAAAUGUUUGGCACAAAAUCUUUUUAUGAUGAGCAUGAUUGCAAUGUUGUUAGUAUGAAUUCCUUGAAUAUCCAUGAUGCUAAUGAUAUGCAAAGCCACAAGCUUGGAGAUGCUAUGUUUAAUGAAGAUGAUAUUUUUGUCCCCCAAGUUUUGACGAGCAAAUUUAUUAUGACGAAAGCAUGCCUCCUAUUUAUGAUGAUUAUAUUGAUGAAAGUGGGUUUGGAAGAGUGUCAACUUUAGGAAGUAAUGAUCCCACUAUUUUGGAGGGUGUUGAAUCUUAUUGUGAUAAUUAUGAAAGUGGAUUUGGAGAGGUCGUGACUUUAUUUAGUGAUGAAUCCACUAUUUCGGAAGAAGGUUCCCAUUGAUUAUGAGAACAAAGUUGCUAUCUAUGAUGAUUAUUGUGAUGACAUGUAUGCUAUAAAGAAUAAUGAUAACCAUCAAACUUGGCAUCAUGAUUUUAAUUUUCAAUUGGAUUAUGCCUCACAUGAUAGUUAUUUUGUUGAGUUUGCUCCCAUUACUAUUCAUGAGAAUAAUUUUGCUUAUGUGGACAGUAAUAAAAUUUCUAUGCUUGUGGAUCAUGAAAAGAAUGCUUUAUGUGAUAGUUAUAUUGUUGAAUUCAUUCAUGAUACCACUGAAAAUUAUUAUGAGGGAGGAAUAUAUGCUUGUAGAAAUUGCAAUAAUAUCAAGUUUCCUCUCUAUGUGUUGAAAGUUUUGAAGUUAUGCUUGUUUUGUCUUUCUAUGCUAGUUGAUUCUUGUUCCCAUAAAUUGUUUGCUCACAAAAUCUCUAUGCAUAGAAAGUGGGUUAUACUUAAAUGUGAUAGUAAUAUUCUUCAUCAUGCUCUCUUUGUGUUUCAGUUCUUAUCUUUUAUGUGAGCAUCAUUGACAUCAUCAUGCCUAGCUAAAAAGGCAUUAAAGAAAAGUUCUUGUUGGGAUACAACCCAACGUUUACCCCUACUAUUUUUGUGGGUUCACAUGAUUAAGCUACUAUAGUAAUCAUGUUUUGUAGCUUUUGUUUCAAUAAAGUGCCAAGUAAAGCCUUUGGGAUAGUGUGGAUGAUAGUUGACUUGAUUCUGUGCAAAAACCGAAACUUUUGCUCCCAGUCCUGGAAUUUUGAAAAUUCACUGCAACUUGAUUUUGAUCUGAUUUUUUUAUAAAAUAUUGAUAUACAAAUUUUCCAGGUUGUCCUAAUUUUUCAGAAUUUUUGGAGUUACAUAAAUAUGGAAAGUUUCCAGAUUACUACAGACUGUUCUGCUUUAAACAUAUUCUGUUUUCUAUGUGUUGUUUGCUUAUUUUGAUGAAUCUAUGAGUAGUAUCAUGUGGCACCCCGGCUCAGAGAAAACUGGAACACCCCGUAUUCCAGCCCAGAGAUCGAGGAGAAGUCUUCUGGAAUACGGCACUGCUUAGCAUAGAACAAACCAGCUCUUUAUUAUUACACGAAUAUGAACACAUGGUCUCCAAUAUUACAAUGAAUAACAUCGGUACGGCGACACUACACCAUCCUCAGUUGCUCUAUGCAAGCAGCAGAACAACUCGAAGCAGCGGAAUAACUCUAGCAGCGGAACAACGAUGACAGUGGUGAACUCCACUCCGCAGGGACUCUGGCUGGAACGCUUAUCCUAGCUCGCACGAAUGAAAACCACGACAAUCAAGCAAUCAAAUCCGACAUGACCUGCAAGCUAGCAUGACACGCCAGGUCAGUACAUUGAAUGUACUUGCAAGCUCACAAUAACUAGAAGCAUUCAAGACAAACAACAACAUGACAAUUACAGGUUAAACAGGAAUUAUCAUGAUAUCAUCAGAACAAUAUAACAUGGCAUGACCAACAUAAACACGAUAUAACUAUCACAACAUGAAUAUAAUAAUCCGACAAUACUAGCAUGCAACAUGAUGACACUUCAUGCACCAUUUAUUCUGCUCGGGUUACCUCGUAACCAACAUAUGCAUCACUUACCAACCUCGGACAUCACACGAUCAUCUCAGGAUCAAAUCAAGCUUGGUAUAAACAAUACCGUAGUAAUCGUUAAAUGACCACAAGGAGCUUGACCUUUACCCACGACUCUCGUCCAACAUCACGAAUAUACAACAACUCGGUAUCCUCAAUACCAUCGUGAUCUUUACGGCGAUCACCACCCGACCAACACUUGGCCCGUGAUCCUUACGACGAUCACAACCCGACCAAUACCUGGCCCGUGAUCCUUACGGCGAUCACAACCCACUUUUCUCACUGUUAUUAAGCACAUUAUUCUUAUUACUGUUGACUCAUGGUGUGACCUACUUUCGACCUGGGCCCUUAUCCGCGAGCACGGCUAUCGAUAGAUUUAACAUACACUCUGUAGAGGUUAGUACACUGUACCCACACCACGGAACCCAUGGCCUCGCACUCCCAUUCAGGUGGACCAACGGUGUUCUGACACAACCGAUCUACUGCCAUGACACUCUCCCGGCCAGUCCGACUCACUCCUCACUGAGCUAAGUCAUGGGUGGCCCCGUGCCUACCUCCAGACACAACGACCACCGUCGUGGCCAAAACAUAAACGAUCCCACGCGGGGAUUCGCCGGCUAUAACAACUAUGGGCACACAAGGAUUAUGUUCGCCUACCUGAUCAGGGUAGCGCGCGCCCAUAACCUUCCCUCGUUGGAGGCACCGGCGAGAGGCGCAACAAUAGACCCAGUUAGGACCGUCCCAUACCGGUAAGCGUGGUUGCACUGGUCAGCAUCGAUUCAGCGGCACCAUGUAUCAGCCAACAGUUGUUCAAGUUCAAUUUAAUCCGGUUAACUUGAAUGCAAAUAUGCUGAGCCAUGAUAAAAUGCAUGAACAUGAUAUCCACAUCAUCAUGAGGAUAUCACAUAACUAUCCACCAUAUCAACAAUAACUCAUAUCAUCUGAGCAUGGCAAACUGACUAGCAUGACCAUCUCCAACAUCAACAUGUACUACUAACAAGCACAGAGUACAAAACAACAUAGCACAAAAGUGAACAUGCAAAUCUGAACAUUACCGGAACAACGAUAACCAUCUUUUCAACAAUCAAACAUUUAUUAAAUAUUCAAGUUGAAAACCAUGGCUACUGCAUGACUAUCAUGCAAGUGGGUAUUGUGACUUGCCUGGGGAUGAAGAAGGCACCGGGGAGAAGUGCGGUGAAGCUGCAGAAUGAUUCGCCGGAAAAUAUUCUCUCUCGGAGGGGGCUGAAUAAGGGCAAGGGCAUAAAUGUCAUUUUCACAGUGUCAGACCAUAGUGAAAACAUGACCAACAGAACAGGCUCGGCAAAACGAAGAAGUGAGAAUUGGAUUCACCUCAAACGGAGUUACGGAUAAAAAGAUAUUGAGUGUUUUCUGCCAGGGACCCAUCUGUAAUGAAAAUAUUUUCAACUAGGGGCCUGAGCAGAAAAAGUGAAAACGCAUUCUGGGAAAUACGCCUUCACCUUAUCCAAAGGAAAAGUGGCGGGGCUGACGCGUGCGGGUCCCACAGGUGGGGCCCAUGACUUUUCCACGUGGGCUGGGCUGGUCAACGGCCAGAGGCCGACAA
rnacentral:lncRNA from 1 species